rnacentral:lncRNA from 1 species
GGGGGGGUAACUUUGUGGGUCUUUGUGUAUGAGGUGGGCCAGGUCGGGUCGCUAGCCUGAACUAGGUCAGUUCUUACAUGAAUCUAUUCUGCAGAUGCUUGAAUUCAGAGCAAUUUUCCAACUACAGUUACUGAUGGGGGUUUUGGCUUUGGAUGUAAAUGUACUUGUAGUGAAUGUACACUUUUCCUAAUUUGCUGGGUUUGUUUUGGACAUGACACUGGAAAUACAACAUAAUGUUUCAACAUAAUGUGCUCUGUAAUGAAUAAAUAGUCAAAGCCUGUUUGAGGGACACGAUGACGACAAAAUCAAAGAAUGGAUAGUGUAAAAAUAAAAAAAUAAAGAGGGACAGUAAGAUUUUCCUGGGAAGAGGAUGGAAAGGCAUUCUGCUCAACAUAGUCUAUUUACAAGCACCGGAGGAGUAUCUUCCUGCCAUCUCCAUCAUACAUGGGUGCGUCUGAGGGCGAGAGAGAUCGCACUCCAAUUAGGACCUGAUAACUAAUCAAUAGGCUUGCAUAUUCCUAGAGGAGGAUGUAAAUGACUGGGCCCCUGGGAACACCCCUUUAAAUUACUCUGCUGUCGAUGCUGAGAGACAGAGUGAGAGCGAGAGGUGGGGAGAGAGUGAGAGGAAGGCUGAGAGAGAGAAAAAAGGAUUAUGAAGAGAAAGAUAAAGAGAAAAGGGGUCAGAGAGGAUGACAAACAUUAAAAAAAGAGGGAGGAAGAGAAAUAGGUUGCAGAAGAGUGGAGGAGAAGACUAAUGUCUUGGCUGCUAGCUGAUUCCAAGGAGUGGUCUCAGCCUCCUAUCCUGAACCCUACUGUCUGAUUCCAGGGGGUGGUCUCAGCCUCCUAGCCUGAACCCUAUAGACUGAUUCCGGGGGGUGAUCUCAGCCUCCUAGCCAGAACCCUACAGUCUGAUUCCAGGGGGUGGUCUCAGCCUCCUAGCCUGAACCCUAUAGACUGUGUGGAGUGAGUAACGGCUGGGCAGGCAGAUGGAGGCAGUUACCACCAUGGCCGGACUGGGCAGGCAGGAGGCAGGAGUAGACCACAGGGUAAGGACACCACAGUGGAAACAGGAAAGGCCCGUGCCCACCCUUCCAACCCAAAACCUUUAUUUAUUUAUUAACUAUACCACUCCAAAACCACAGAUAUGAAGGAAAAUAACUAGAUUGCCAAGAUUUAGUGUGACUGUUGUUGAAUGCAAGCUCUUACCCUCAAUACACUACCGGUCAAAUGUUUUAGAACACCUACUCAUUGAAGGGUUUUUCUUUAUUUUUACUAAUUUCUACAUUGUAGAAUAAUAGUGA